GCGACUGUCGCAGGACGCCUCCGCCGCGCACUUUACGGCACACACGUGCUUUCUGCGCUCUUAUGUGCCCUUCACUGCUCCACAUCGCAUCCAGAGACGAUCUUUGAUUAAAUCUGAAUGAAAUGAUGUCCAAACUGAGUAAUGAGAGUGAAAUGAUGUCCAAACUGAGUAAAGAGAGCAAGCAGCGGCUGCAGCAGGUGUUCCAGUGCGGCCAGUUCAUCAUCCGCUGGGGUUUCAUCCCCACCGUGUUGUACCUGGGAUUCAAGCGUGGCGUCGAUCCAGGGAUGCCUGAACCCUCGGUGUUCAGUUUGCUUUGGGGAUGAAGUCGCUCCUGACAGAAACUCCAGACCUAUUCACAAACCUCAUGAAGACAUCCAUCGUCUCACGAGACGCUGUGCUCGGAUGUAAAUACUCCAGUAACGUUUGUGUUAUUUCAAGACUUCUGCUUCCUCUUUCUAAAACACUGCAAUUGAGAAACGCACAAAAUGUAACCGAGCUUUCUUUGUUUUUUUUGUUGUUUUUUUAUUAUUAUUGACUCAAAUUAGAUGCAUGGUCUCAGUUUUUCAAUUUCAAAUAAACUAAACCAGUUCAUCAGCA